rnacentral:rRNA from 1 species
AAGCCCGAAGGGCGCAACGAAAGCGAAAGCGUUCCGGGAUCCCUCCGCGAAGCGGCUGGGCGCACCGGAGGCCCGUCUCGAAAGGGAACGACUAUGUGAUACUUUGACGGAGCCAGAGCGCACACGUUCCUACCCGAAAGAUGGUGAACUAGCCCCGGGCAGGGUGAGGCCGGGGGAAACCCCGGUGGAGGCYCGGAAGCGGUUCUGACGUGCAAAUCGAUCGCACGAUCAGGGCCUAGGGGCGAAAGACCAAUCGAACCAUCUAGUAGCUGGUUCCCUCCGAAGUUUCCCUCAGGAUAGCUGGCGCUCGAGGGUGAAGCGGUCUCGUCCGGUAAAGCGAAUGACUAGAGGCCCUCUGGGGCGAAACGCCCUAGACCUAUUCUCAAACUUUCAACGGGCGAGCGUCGGACCUCCCGUCCCAACCGCGGGUAGCGUCCGGAGUGGACGAGAGUGCCCAGUGGGCCGCUUUUGGUAAGCAGAACCGGCGCUGCGGGAUGAACCGAACGCGGGGUUAAGGCGCCCGAUGCGGGACGCUCACGAGACCCCAUGAAAGGCGUCGGUCGCUAGAGACAGCAGGACGGUAGCCACGGAAGUCGGAACCCGCCAAGGAGUGUGUAACAACUCCCCUGCCGAAGCGAGCGGCCCUGAAAAUGGAUGGCGCUCCAGCGUCGAGCCCAUACCCCGCCGCCGGGGCAGAAUAAAAAGAGACUGGCCUGUGUAGCAUAAGUAGGCCCCGGCGAGUAGGAGGUGAGCGCCUCGGUGCGGCGCGGAAGGGCAGGUGCGCGAGCACGCCCGGAGCCGCCGAGGGUGCAGAUCUUGGUGGUAGUAGCAAAUACUCGAGCGAGAACCUCGAGGACCGAAGACGGAGCAGGGUUCCAUGUGAACAGCAGUUGAACAUGGGUCAGCCGGACCUUAAGGGUGGCGGUGAAGACCGCCUUCGACGCGGGUCCCUUCCACGGGCCCGCGGCCCGAAAGGGAAGAGGGUUAAUAUUCCCUCGCCUGCACACGGGGGUCGGGGAGGCCGUAAGAAGCUUCCCCCGACGCGGUAACGCAACCGAACUCGGCGACGGCUGCGGAGGACCCGGGGAAGAGUUGUCUUUUCUUCGUAAGAGGUCGUAGUCCCUGGAAUCGGUUCGUCCGGAGAUAGGGACGACUGGCUUCGAAAGAGCACCGCGGUUCGCGCGGUGUCCGGUCCCCCUCUGCAGUCCCUUGAAAGGCCGAGGGAGGGGCAUGACCUUCGUGGCAGUCCGUACCCACAUCCGCAGCAG